rnacentral:tRNA from 1 species
CGGGGUGUAGCGCAGCCCGGUAGCGCGCGUCGUUCGGGACGACGAGGUCCCAGGUUCGAAUCCUGGUACCCCGA